rnacentral:rRNA from 1 species
AAACAACUCUCAGCAACGGNUAUCUUGCAAUUUGCAGGAAUUCCGGCGAAUCAUCGAGUCUUUUGAACGCAAAGUUGCGCCCGAGGCUUGUCCGGAGGGCAUUUCCGCUUAGAGCGUCACC